AACGAACGCUGGCGGCAGGCUUAACACAUGCAAGUCGAACGAUGUAGCAAUACAUAGUGGCGCACGGGUGAGUAACGCGUGGGAAUGUACCUUAUAGUGGGGAAUAACGUUGGGAAACUAACGCUAAUACCGCAUACGCCCUUCGGGGGAAAGAUUUAUCGCUAUAAGAUCAGCCCGCGUGAGAUUAGGUAGUUGGUGGGGUAAUGGCCUACCAAGCCUACGAUCUCUAGCUGGUCUGAGAGGAUGAUCAGCCACACUGGAACUGAGACACGGUCCAGACUGCUACGGGAGGCAGCAGUGGCGAAUAUUGGGCAAUGGAGGCAACUCUGACCCAGCCAUGCCGCGUGAAUGAUGAAGGCCUUAGGGUUGUAAAGUUCUUUCGCCGAUGAAGAUAAUGACGGUAGUCGGAGAAGAAGCCCCGGCUAACUUCGUGCCAGCCGCCGCAGUAA
rnacentral:rRNA from 1 species